UACAGAGGGGGCAAGCGUUAUUCGGAAUUAUUGGGCGUAAAGGGCGCGUAGGCGGCCUGUUAAGUCGAACGUGAAAUCCCCGGGCUCGACCCGGGAACUGCGUCCGAUACUGGCAGGCUUGAAUCCGGGAGAGGGAUGCGGAAUUCCAGGUGUAGCGGUGAAAUGCGUAGAUAUCUGGAGGAACACCGGUGGCGAAGGCGGCAUCCUGGACCGGCAUUGACGCUGAGGCGCGAAAGCCAGGGGAGCAAACGGG
rnacentral:rRNA from 1 species